UGCUAUACAUGCAAGUCGAGCGAAUGAUGAAGAAGCUUGCUUCUUCUGAUUUAGCGGCGGACGGGUGAGUAACACGUGGGCAACCUACCUAGUAGAUUGGGAUAACUCCGGGAAACCGGGGCUAAUACCGAAUAAUCCAUUUUGUCACAUGGCAAAAUGCUGAAAGGCGGUUUCGGCUGUCACUACUAGAUGGGCCCGCGGUGCAUUAGCUAGUUGGUGGGGUAAUGGCCUACCAAGGCAACGAUGCAUAGCCGACCUGAGAGGGUGAUCGGCCACAUUGGGACUGAGACACGGCCCAAACUCCUACGGGAGGCAGCAGUAGGGAAUCUUCCACAAUGGACGAAAGUCUGAUGGAGCAACGCCGCGUGAGUGAUGAAGGUUUUCGGAUCGUAAAACUCUGUUGUAAGGGAAGAACAAGUACGUUAGUAACUGAACGUACCUUGACGGUACCUUAUUAGAAAGCCACGGCUAACUACGUGCCAGCAGCCGCGGUAAUACGUAGGUGGCAAGCGUUGUCCGGAUUUAUUGGGCGUAAAGCGCGCGCAGGUGGUUUCUUAAGUCUGAUGUGAAAGCCCACGGCUCAACCGUGGAGGGUCAUUGGAAACUGGGAGACUUGAGUGCAGAAGAGGAAAGUGGAAUUCCAAGUGUAGCGGUGAAAUGCGUAGAGAUUUGGAGGAACACCAGUGGCGAAGGCGACUUUCUGGUCUGUAACUGACACUGAGGCGCGAAAGCGUGGGGAGCAAACAGGAUUAGAUACCCUGGUAGUCCACGCCGUAAACGAUGAGUGCUAAGUGUUAGGGGGUUUCCGCCCCUUAGUGCUGCAGCUAACGCAUUAAGCACUCCGCCUGGGGAGUACGGCCGCAAGGUUGAACCAG
rnacentral:rRNA from 2 species